rnacentral:rRNA from 1 species
AUUGAACGCUGGCGGCAUGCCUUACACAUGCAAGUCGAACGGUAACAGGUCUUCGGAUGCUGACGAGUGGCGAACGGGUGAGUAAUACAUCGGAACGUGCCCGAGAGUGGGGGAUAACGAGGCGAAAGCUUUGCUAAUACCGCAUACGAUCUCAGGAUGAAAGCAGGGGACCGCAAGGCCUUGCGCUCACGGAGCGGCCGAUGGCAGAUUAGGGAGUUGGUGGGAUAAAAGCUUACCAAGCCGACGAUCUGUAGCUGGUCUGAGAGGAGGACCAGCCACACUGGGACUGAGACACGGCCCAGGCUCUUACGGGAGGCAGCAGUGGGGAAUUUUGGAAAAUGGGCGCAAGCCUGAUCCAGCCAUGCCGCGUGCAGGAUGAAGGCCUUCGGGUUGUAAACUGCUUUUGUACGGAACGAAAAGACUCUGGUUAAUACCUGGGGUCCAUGACGGUACCGUAAGAAUAAGCACCGGCUAACUACGUGCCAGCCGCCGCCGUAAAAC